CGCCGUGGAACAUACCCAUUGGUUGCCCGAGUUUCCAGACUCACCUCCUCCGGCUGAUCGCAAGUUCCUCCUGGAUGUUCUGACUGGCAGUCGUGCCGCUCCUCUGUCUCUGUUCUGCCUGAACCUACCUGUCCGCCCUCCGACAACACUCCCUCGCAGCCUUCUGGAUCUCUGUGGCUAAGCCCUGUUCCUCCUGGACCACAAGGAAACAAGGACCCCGAGCACUGCAGUUAUCCCUCCAAAUCUACAAACUCCUGUUCAACAAUGUGCCGACCACUCCGUGAGCCUUUCCCCCCCUGGAUAGACCCGUUAUCUUCAGUGCAUUCUAUCAUUGCUGUUGUAAUAAAUUCACUUACACUAUAUA